GUUUCUAUUUUUCUAACACAGACAUUUCACUUGCCAGAUAACUGCAUCAGGCACACUCUUGUUGUUAUUCGUUGGAGAUGUUCGUCUCGUUGCAAAUGAAUGUAGGGAUGAGCUGAACCAUUUAAAUGCCUACAUACAAGGAGGGGAAAUGGGGGAGGGAGUUAAAAGGUGCGGGAAUCGAACGCUCACCAACAAGGUGAAUGUUGAAGAAGUUAACCAAUUGAGUUAUUAAGAUUUCUCCGUGUGCUUAUGACCAACAAUUGCUUGAUAUUGACAUAUUCUUGGACUUGUUUUUUAGGCUUUUAAAUGCUGGAACAUAUGUAUCUAGUACAACCUUUCAAAUUUGUGAGUUUGCCCUCUUUUGUAGCUA